rnacentral:rRNA from 1 species
UACAGAGGUCCCAAGCGUUGUUCGGAUUCACUGGGCGUAAAGCGCGUGUAGGCGGCUGGCCAAGCGUGGUGUGAAAUCUCCGGGCUCAACCCGGAAACUGCACUGCGAACUGGCCUGGCUGGAGUGCAGGAGAGGGAUGCGGAAUUCACGGUGUAGCGGUGAAAUGCGUAGAUAUCGUGAGGAACACCAGUGGCGAAGGCGGCAUCCUGGCCUGUAACUGACGCUGAGACGCGAAAGCGUGGGGAGCGAACCGG